rnacentral:pre_miRNA from 1 species
AGUUCAAUUGCUAGGUCAUAUGGUACUUACAUAAUUGCUUCUUAAAGAAACUGUCAAACUAUUUUCCAGAGUAGUUGUACCAUUUUGUGUUCCUAUCAGCAAU